rnacentral:rRNA from 1 species
AAGUAUCGUUAUUUGGUGGUCAUUUCUUACAUGGAUAACCGUGGUAAUUCUAGAGCUAAUACAUGCGCCCAGACCCGACUUCUUGGAAGGGUUGUGUUUAUUAGAUACAGAACCAAUCCUCGCCCCACCUGGUCCUUUGGUGAUUCUUAAUAACCGAACCACUCGCAUAGCGUUUGCUGGCGAUCAAUCAAUCUUCUUACCGACCUACCUUCUUUCGACGGGAAGUUAUUGACCUACCGUGUCAAUGACAGCUAACAAAUAAUUAUGGUUCCAUUACAGAGAGGCAGCCUGACAACCAGCUACUCCAUCGAAGGAAGGCAGCACGCGCACUAAUUACCCCUUCCUGACGCAGGGAGGUACUGACAAUAACUAACCAUGCGCGGCCUCCCUGUCUUGUUGUUGGAGUGAGUAUUAUUUAUCUCUCUUUAUGAAUAUCGAU